GAUGAACGCUGGCGGCGUGCUUAACACAUGCAAGUCGAACGAUGAAGCCCAGCUUGCUGGGUGGAUUAGUGGCGAACGGGUGAGUAACACGUGAGUAACCUGCCCUUAACUCUGGGAUAAGCCUGGGAAACUGGGUCUAAUACCGGAUAGGAUCGUCCACCGCAUGGUGGGUGUUGGAAAGAUUUAUCGGUUUUGGAUGGACUCGCGUCCUAUCAGCUUGUUGGUGAGGUAAUGGCUCACCAAGGCGACGACGGGUAGCCGGCCUGAGAGGGUGACCGGCCACACUGGGACUGAGACACGGCCCAGACUCCUACGGGAGGCAGCAGUGGGGAAUAUUGCACAAUGGGCGCAAGCCUGAUGCAGCGACGCCGCGUGAGGGAUGACGGCCUUCGGGUUGUAAACCUCUUUCAGUAGGGAAGAAGCGAAAGUGACGGUACCUGCAGAAGAAGCACCGGCUAACUACGUG
rnacentral:rRNA from 1 species